rnacentral:SRP_RNA from 1 species
GCUGGGCGUGGUGGCGCAUGUUUGUAAUCCUAGCUACUCUGGAGCCUGGGGCAGGAGAAUCACUUGAACCUGGGAGGUGGAGGUUGCGGUGAGCCGAGAUUGUGCCAUUGCACUCCAGCCUGGGCAACAAGAGGGAAACUUCGUCUCAAAAAAAAGACUCUGGUACCAUAAAAUAGUUGAGAAUUUUUGGAGUUCUUUUUUUUUUUUGAGACAGAGUUUCCGCUCUUGUCGCCAAGGCUGGAGUGCAAUGGCGUGAUCUUGGCUCACCGCAACCUCUGCCUCCCAGGUUCAAGCGAUUCUCCUGCCUCAGC